UACGUAGGGAGCAAGCGUUGUCCGGAAUCAUUGGGCGUAAAGCGCGCGUAGGUGGCUCCAUAAGUCCGCUGUGAAAGUCAAAGGCUCAACCUUUGAAAGCCGGUGGAUACUGUGGAGCUAGAGUACGGAAGAGGCGAGUGGAAUUCCUGGUGUAGCGGUGGAAUGCGCAGAUAUCAGGAGGAACACCAAUAGCGAAGGCAGCUCGCUGGGACGUUACUGACACUGAGGCGCGAAAGCGUGGGGAGCGAACAGG
rnacentral:rRNA from 1 species